GACGAACGCUGGCGACGUGCUUAACACAUGCAAGUCGAACGGAAAGGCCCUGCUCUUGUGGGGUGCUCGUGUGGCGAACGGGUGAGUAACACGUGAGUAACCUGCCCUUGACUUUGGGAUAACUUCAGGAAACUGGGGCUAAUACCGGAUAGGAGCUCCUGCUGCAUGGUGGGGGUUGGAAAGUUUCGGCGGUGGGGGAUGGACUCGCGGCUUAUCAGCUUGUUGGUGGGGUAGUGGCUUACCAAGCUUUUGAAGGGUAGCCGGCCUGAGAGGGUGACCGGCCACAUUGGGACUGAGAUACGGCCCAGACUGCUACGGGAGGCAGCAGUGGGGAAUAUUGCACAGUGGGCGGAAGCCUGAUGCAGCGACGCCGCGUGCGGGAUGACGGCCUACGGGUUGUAAACCGCUUUCGCCUGUGACGAAGCGUGAGUGACGGUAAUGGGUAAAGAAGCACCGGCUAACUACGUG
rnacentral:rRNA from 1 species